rnacentral:lncRNA from 1 species
AUGUGGCUUUGACUUAGAUACUUCACCUGACUCCUCAUUUGUAAAGUGAUGGGAUUGGGGGUCUGUGUCUUCUAUCAUCCCUCUCAGCCCCACAUUUAUGAUUCUAUAAGGACCAAAAGGGAAACAGGGUCAUUCGUUCCUGUAUGGUAGAAUCUUGGAAUGUUAGGUGAUGUUGUUUGUAAUGAGUCAUGUAAUGCUCCAAUUUCUUUUAAGAACCCUUAUCUUUGGUCUUAGAAUCAAUACUAUAUAUUGGUUCGAAAGCAGAAGAGUGAUGAGGGAUAAGCAAUGGUGGUUAAGUGACUUAUCCAGAGUCGCACAGCUGGGACGUGUCUGAGGUCAAAUUUGAACCCAGGACUUUCCAAUUCUAGUUCUGGCUCUCUAUCCAUUGAACCACCUGGCUGCUCCCAAUACCUCAGUCUUUACAGAGUUGAAGUUGAGGGCUACCCAAAGGGACCAUGAAAGGUGUGAGGCGAUUAUAGCAUGCUUCUGACUAUAAAUUGUGCAAGGGAACCAGCAUGAAGUAUGUAAUCUGAGAGAACAGAAAAGAAGAUGGACCAAUCUCAUCUCAAGAGGGAAGAAGAAUCCCAGAGACGUCCCACAUUCUCCAUUGGGUAUCCCUUCAAUGUCAAAUACAAGGACGAGUAAGAUCCUUAACUCAUUACAUAGUUGAAAGUCACACUGAGUGAAAGGACACGAGAGGGUAGAGAUCUCCAUCACUUACAGAAAUUAUAUAUAUAUAUACAUAUACAUAUGUAUUCUCUCAAAAUGUAACAAAUAUUCAUUCAGGAAAGAGCGCAUAUUGUCUAAUUCCUUCAUUUACUUAGGAGGAAACAGAUUUGGAACCAGGAAGCCACUUUACCUAGUUGGUAAAAGACCGAGUCAGGGAUGGAACCCAGAUGUCCUGACUCCAAGCAAAGAGCUGUUUUCUCUCCAUCGCGAUAUAGAUGGUGCAAAGCUGGGAGGCAGAGCGACUACGAUGGAUGAAAGUAUUAAACAUCCUAACAGCAGAACAGAACAACGGCUGGAUAGAAUAAAAGGAAAUGUAAGAUAUAAAUACACGUAAAGUCUUACAAUUGGUUAAAAACCCAACAUCACAAAUAAGAGAUGGGGGAGGCAAGGCUGGACAGUGGUUUGUAGGAAAGGAAUCUGGGAGUUUUAAUAGACUGUCAAAGCUUAAUUCGAG